rnacentral:rRNA from 1 species
UACGUAGGGUGCAAGCGUUAAUCGGAAUUACUGGGCGUAAAGCGUGCGCAGGCGGUUGUGUAAGACAGAUGUGAAAUCCCCCAGGCUCAACCUGGGAAACUGCAUUCGAGACUGCAUUGCUAGAGUAUGGGAGAGGGAAGUGGAAUUUCCGGUGUAGCGGUGAAAUGCGUAGAUAUCGGAAGGAACAUCAGUGGCGAAAGCGACCUCCUGGACCAAUACUGACGCUCAUGUGCGAAAGCGUGGGGAGCAAACAGG